rfam:Triticum aestivum genome assembly, contig: Triticum_aestivum_CS42_TGACv1_scaffold_066670_1DL
UUAAUACUCACUCCGUCCCAAAAUACUUGUCGGAGAAAUGAAUAAAAAUGGAUGUACCUUAGAACUAAAAUACGUCUAGAUACACUCAUUCCUCCGACAAGUAUUUCCGGACGGAGGGAGUACAAU